rnacentral:lncRNA from 1 species
UUUAGUAUGCGCAUUGGGCCUCCCUCCACAACCAGUUCCCCACAGCUCACUUUUUGAUAAGAAUUACAUAACAGAAACCUAAAGACAUUUUUAUCUGCCUGAAAGAACCUGGAGUGCAGCUAUUUGGUGCUGUUGUUUAAGGGCUGCAUCUUAUCCCUCAACACUCAAUUAAACAAUUUUUUGUUUCCCUUCCUUGUCUGAUUCAUGAUAGGACCUAAUCUUAAAAAAAAAAAAAAAGAUUAGAAUAAGAAAUAAUGUGUCAGUCCAAAGGAGUAGCUGAAAUUGCUCUUUCGGGGGAGGCAUUCCUAGCCUUAAGAACACACAGUUCUGAGGUUCUUUGGAGGGACUGGUAUGGAUGGAGAAGCCACAGACUUCUUUGUGAGAUAAACUCAAGUCAGUGGAAUUAGUGCUACUCAUGUUCCCAAAGGUGGACACUGACCCAGCAUCUAUGACUAAAUUCAUAACCAAGAACAGGGCCUCCUUCUGUGGAUCAGCAAAACAGUGUGGGCAGAAUUUCACAAGCUCAGCUGGUUCUUGGGGACGGCCACACUGACUCCUGCCUGUCCUCUGGCCCUGGGACUGUUCAACUGCUUUCAUUCACUGGACUGGGAUUUGAGAGACCCUGUACUGGCGUUGGUGGCACAAAGGUCCUGUGACUCCUCUUUGCUCUUCUGGGAUGCGCAGGAAAUCUUUCCAAAAACAUGCAGAAGUCACCAGCAUCCUAAAUGUUCUCUGUUGCUGGAGGAUAUGCUUCUGUGUCCUUAGAUUUUUAAACCAAUCCCCAAACCCAUAGGGACCUUCUCACCAAUUUCCCUUUUUCCUCCUCCUCUUAUCUCAUUCUUCCUGUCUGAAAUAUUUUGUCUAGACUUUAGGGAGUUUUUAUAUUCUUGUAUGUUUUAACAUCUAUUUUCCUCCUGGGCUUUAGUGUUUUGCUUGUUCGGUUUUUAAAUUCAGAAGCCAAUAUUGUGUUUGUUAUGGUCUUUAGCAAUAUUGGAAGAAUGUCUUCUGUUUCCAUUGGGAUAGUGGUGACAGAGAGGAGAGAUGUGGAAAUUGGCUAGUAAAUCAAUCAUAUUGGCUAAUAAAUCAAAAUACUGUCUCA